UACGGAGGGUGCAAGCGUUGUCCGGAAUCACUGGGCGUAAAGGGCGCGUAGGCGGCUCGGUAAGUAGGGGGUGAAAUCCUGCGGCUUAACCGCAGGGCUGCCUUCUAAACUGUCGAGCUCGAGCACGGUAGAGGCAGAUGGAAUUCCCGGUGUAGCGGUGGAAUGCGUAGAGAUCGGGAAGAACAUCAGUGGCGAAGGCGGCCUGCUGGGCUGUUGCUGACGCUGAGGCGCGACAGCGUGGGGAGCAAACAGG
rnacentral:rRNA from 1 species